GCUUAGUGCUUCUGCGGGAAUUCUCUAUUCUUAUUAAGAAAAUUGCACAUAAAUUUGCUAUUGCCGUUUUGAUAACCAAUUGCACGGUGACCCGCAACGGCGGAGCUAUAGAGCCGGCGAUGGGAGCACACUGGCCUUCUUAUAUUGAUACUCGGAUUGUAUUACUGGAAGAUGGCAAUCACAAAAAAGCUCAAAUAUUAAAACUCUCUGGAAA